AAAAACUAAACAUGGCUCUGAACUGGAUAGGAACUCCCAACUUGUCACAGAGGACAUGAAAUUGUAUAAAAGAUCCUUGGAUCCUGAUUCUGUCAUCUCUGAUCUGCUUAGGCUUCAUCAGGGGAAGUUUGAGUCACAAGAUUGAGGUCCUAGUUAUGCUGGUACGCCCUGAA